AAACAAUAGCCAAUAUUUAUUUUCCAAAAAAAUAUGGUACAGUAUAAUAAACGAUAAACACAUGACAACACAACACUUUAUUAUUAUACAAAUGAAAGAAAGACAACAACACUUUACAGAUCAGGUAAAAAAACGGUUUACAGAUAACUCCGAAUAAUAUUGUAGCAUAUAUCCCAGAUAUUCAAUCUACAACAUGUCCCAGAUAUUCUGGGGCGGAGCCUUCAAAAAAGAUAUUCUCCAGUGGAGAACAGCGCCGACGUCAGAGACGCCAUAUCUACCACCAUAUUGACCCUACCCAUGCUCCUGAGUAGCCGAUCUCCAGCGACGAGAACAUGCAAUAGUUGUUGCCUGCACGUAUACAACCAAAUACUAUCUAAAAAAUUCUGAAAUAAAAACCCGCAAAAAAUCAGAAAUAAAACACAGUGAACUCGAAACGGUGAGGCAACCGACUGACAUCCCGCUGGGUCGAGGCCUCGAGGGACAAGCUGGGGGUGAGGACGCCGUCUGCGACGGACGCCAUUGAAGAAGGGACGACAGCAUCCCAGCACAACGGAGCCGCCUCAGCCAGGCGCCUGUAGAGUGCCGACUCGAUGCGGCUCGCUUGGUGCCUCAGCGCGGCAGCAUCGGACAGAGAUGGGCGGCCUGAACCGUGGCUGUGUUGCUGCCUUCCUAAC
rnacentral:lncRNA from 1 species